rnacentral:lncRNA from 1 species
GAACGCCGGCCCGCACUGUGCCACCCCCUCCGAGCCCCCGGGAGGAGGCCUCGCCACCAUGCCCAGAGCAGCACGGUGAGUCAGAGAUGAAGCUCUUGUCCCACCUGCCCCAACCCUCGAGCCCUGCUUCCCAGGUCUGAGUUCCCAGGCAGCCUGCCACAGCCAGUGCCAGCGAGAGUGGAUCAGGCUUCAGGAUAGUCCCGCACUGAGGACGCCUAAAACAGUCUUCAUUUAUUUAUUUAUUGUUCAUAGUGUCCAAAAGUUGGAAUUAAAGUGAACGGCUGAAUAAA